UGGUGGAUUUUUUCUCCCAUCAGCCCCUCCCGUGUCAGCAUGCUCUGGCAGACCUCUCUCCUCCUUGAAGGUCACCCAGAGGUCUCCUAUUUUGGUCAGAUUUAUGGAAAACUGUCAUGUGCGGACUGCAUUAAUCACUGUUAGUUAAGCACAGACAUCGCUUCACACUCUAAAUGUGUCUUAGGCUGUUGCCAUAAUGACACUGUGUUUUGUUUUAACUUAACCCUCAGGUCUCUGUCUGUCUCUCUACCUGUCUGCUUCUCUGUCUCUCUGUCUCUCUGUCUCUCUGUCUCUCUGUCUCUCUACCUGUCUGCUUCUCUGUCUCUCUGUCUCUCUGCUUCUCUCAGUGCCUCAUCCAAAAUCAAGUCGGAUCUGGGAGAUUUUAGUGUAUGCUCUUAUGUUUUUUCAAUCUCUUUCUCUCAUACUGUGUGUGUGUGUGUGUGUGUGUGUGUGUGUCUGUGUGUGUGUGUGUGUGUGUGUGUGUGUGCGCAUAGCGUGGGAGGAUAGAUGUGUGGGUUACCACCAGCUGUUGGAGUUGAUGGAUGCAGCAACAGCUCUUUACAGUUGUUCAGUAUGCCCUCCUUCUCUGCAAAACUCUCUUUUUAAAAACGGCUAAAUAUUCUUACCAACCACGCACUCAAGGGGCCUGCUUGUCCUUGUCGCCUAGGAAUUACUCCAGCCCCGGAACACAUGCCUGGGAAAUGGAGGGAAGGACGAGGAGCUGCAUGGGAAAGGAAGCAGAAAUCCAGAGGGCUAGCGCAGCGCGUUGCGUAACAGCUCUCCCAGUCCCAUUGAUAACACCCCAGAUUGCCAGAGGGUUUAGCUAAAUGUUAUGGAACCCCGCUCACAACAAGCAGAUUCAGACUAAGACUAUGCAGUUUCUCCAUUUUUGAUGGAUAGAUCCUCGGAGCCCCAUGCCGAUUUAAAGCGACCGCAAAUGUAAGAUAUCUCCUGGGAUGGUGAAUUAUCUGUCUUCCCUGUCUGCACGUAGCCUCAUCAUCUGCUUGGCAAUUAUUGGGCUCGUGGAAGCCAAACACUUGGCAUCAUGUGACAGGGUGUUAUUUCAUACAACUGUGCAUCACCAUUGUAUUUCUCACUUCAAUCACUCCAUGGAGGCCAGUGAUUAUCAGAAGAAGUGUCCUUGGCCCAGCACAAGAGUGCCCUACGUCAUCCUGACUCAGUGUCUGGAGCAGGUGGCCAAGAUCACCAGGUGUGUGGAGCCCUCCCUGAAGGAUAAGAUCUUCCUGGGGCUGCACCAGGCCUACUUCUCCCUGUGUACCCGGAUGCAGGACCCGGCAGUGCCCGUGCUGCUGCUGCUCAUCCUGCCCUGCAUCGUCACCACGCUCCUGCUGCCCCUCUUCUGUUUCCACAUCGCCACCAACCAGUAG
rnacentral:lncRNA from 1 species